rnacentral:rRNA from 1 species
CAGGCCUAACACAUGCAAGUCGAACGCCCUCGCAAGGGGGAGUGGCAGACGGGUGAGUAACACGUGGGAACAUACCCUUCGGUUUGGAACAACGCCGGGAAACUGGCGCUAAUACCGGAUACGCCCUUUGGGGGAAAGGCUUGACCGCCGAAGGAGUGGCCCGCGUUCGAUUAGCUUGAUGGCGGGGUAACGGCCCACCAUGGCGACGAUCGAUAGCUGGUCUGAGAGGAUGGCCAGCCACAUUGGGACUGAGACACGGCCCAAACUCCUACGGGAGGCAGCAGUGGGAAUAUUGGACAAUGGGCGCAAGCCUGAUCCAGCCAUGCCGCGUGAGUGAUGACGGCCUUAGGGUUGUAAAGCUCUUUCGCACGCGACGAUAAUGACGGUAGCGUGAGAAGAAGCCCCGGCUAACUUCGUGCCAGCAGCCGCGGUAAU